AUGGCAGAGUUACUUAUGAACCAAGGAGUCGUGUCUUCCAUUCUGAAUAACAUCCAGGAUCUAAUCAAAAAGGAUAUCUCUCUCAAUUCUUCACUUUCUGUUGUAACAUUUGUUCUAGCUGCCAAUGGAUCCUGGAAACAAUCAUCUAUGCUUUAUGAUCCUCAAGUUCCUGAGCUUAAAAAGAUGCUGCAUAACAAAUGUUCUUUUUUCCAUCUAAAAAAUUUUCAAAUCCAGACAUUUUGGAUACUUUAG